rnacentral:rRNA from 1 species
CCUACGGGCGGCAGCAGUGGGGAAUAUUGGACAAUGGGGGCAACCCUGAUCCAGCCAUGCCGCGUGUGUGAAGAAGGCCCUCGGGUUGUAAAGCACUUUCAGUGAGGAAGAACGCCUGGUGGUUAAUACCCAUCAGGAAAGACAUCACUCACAGAAGAAGCACCGGCUAACUCCGUGCCAGCAGCCGCGGUAAUACGGAGGGUGCGAGCGUAAUCGGAAUUACUGGGCGUAAAGCGCGCGUAGGUGGCUUAAUAAGCCGGUUGUGAAAGCCCCGGGCUCAACCUGGGAACGGCAUCCGGAACUGUCAAGCUAGAGUGCAGGAGAGGAAGGUAGAAUUCCCGGUGUAGCGGUGAAAUGCGUAGAGAUCGGGAGGAAUACCAGUGGCGAAGGCGGCCUUCUGGACUGACACUGACACUGAGGUGCGAAAGCGUGGGUAGCAAACAGGAUUAGAUACCCCGGUAGUC